rnacentral:rRNA from 1 species
UACGGAGGGUGCAAGCGUUAAUCGGAAUUACUGGGCGUAAAGGGCGCGUAGGUGGUAAUUUAAGUUGGCUGUGAAAUACCUGGGCUUAACCUGGGGGCGUCAGCCAAUACUGGAUAACUAGAGUCCGAGAGAGGGUAGUGGAAUUUCAGGUGUAGCGGUGAAAUGCGUAGAUAUUACACAGAACACCGAUUGCGAAGGCAGCUUACUAAACUGUUACUGACGCUGAUGCACGAAAGCGUGGGGAGCGAACAGG